CGAUAUGAUAUUACACUCGUUUUUUUUAUUUUUUGAGAUGGAAUCUCAUUCUGUUACUGAUGCUGGAGUGAGGUGGCAUGAUCUUUGUUCACUGCAAACUCCACCUCCCAGGUUCAAGCGAUUCUCCUCUCUCAGCCCCCCAAGUAGCUAGGACUACAGGUGCACACCACCAUGCCUGGCUAAUUUUUGUAUUUUUAGUACAGUCAGAGUUUCACCCUGUUGUCCAGGCUGGUCUCGAACUCCUGACCUCAGGUGAUCCACCCACCAUGGCCUCCCAAAGUGCUGCGAUUACAGGCAUAAGCCACCGCACCCAGCCUGAUAUUGCACUCUUGAAUUUUGAACACUGAAUAUCUUUUUGAAAGAUUACACCUCUUUACCUCUUCGUGCUUCAGAAAUUAUUUUCCUUCAAGUGUUCUAAGAGUCUAAUGAAGAAUGAAGUCAUGUUUUAUCACUUUUGUCCUUAAAGAAAGAUUUCAGACAUGCUGAAACUGAUUGAAGUAUCAUUUGCUACCAGAUAGAUUAAUUAUCUCUAGUUGUAGGAGUGGAUACAUCUUUAAUGGUAUACUUUGGGUUAUUGUCUUAUUUUUGAUGCAGUAUUCUAUAAAUAAUUUAUUAAACCUGGCAUCCUUGGGUGAGCAUGGAUUUUUCAACUUUGGUGUUAUAUUGUGUUUGCUUUUAAAAACUGCUUUUGAGGCCAGGUAUGGUGGCUCUUGCCCAUACCCAGCACUUUGGGAGGCCA
rnacentral:lncRNA from 10 species